AUGGUAUGCUCUUUGCCAGGCAGUGUCCUUGCCCCCAGCAGGCCAGAGUAUAUUUAUUGUUCUUUGGAUUUUAUGGUUGAGUGGAUUUGUCAUAGGUUUGCUGAGAGCAGGGAGGAGAAGGUGGCUGGUAUAAAAUACCUACCAGGUGCCAGGCCGCUGCUGGGCUUCCCCGUGUUACCUCCUCUACGCCAUCCCACAGGCCUCUCUGGAGGCACUUACCCUCCACUCUCCAACAUUACAGUAUUUUCUCAUUUUUCGGCUUGGCUUACGAAGGCCACGCCUGGGUCCCCAUCCACCAUGGUCCUCCAGAGCUGCCAGGGAGGCGGCCACGGCGCAUGCUCCCUUGCUCACCUGCUCCCGCCCCUUCCUUAAAGCCAUGCCAGGUAGACCUGUUGUCUGUGAUGUAGGGGUUGGUACUGUCUAUCUGCCCCCAAAAGUGCCACCCCUGGGGCUGGUCCUCCAUGUGUUCUCAAAAAGGCAGGAUGGUAGCAAGGGCUGGGGGUAGGGAAAGCAAGAAGCACCGGACCUCUCCCAGCCCAACUCUCUCCUCUACAAUGGGGCAGAUUGAUGCAUGAUGAUUUCUGUCUUGGCAGUCUCGUAAGAUGCUGACAGGAUGGCUCAUCUGGAAGGGGCUUUGAAACUGCCUGUGUUUUGGAGAUGCGUGGAGGGCGAAGAAAGGUCAGCUGUGCAGGCAGCAGCACAGACCCCUCUGCUGGCGGAGACGGCCU
rnacentral:lncRNA from 1 species